UCCCUGGAGGACUAGUGGUUAGGCCUUGGUGCUCUCGCUGCCGUGGCCCGGGUUCGAUUCCCGGCCAGGGAA